UUUGAAAUCUGGCACCUUCGGUGUCCGAGUUGUAAUUUGAAGAAGGUAACUUUGGAGUCAGCUCUUGUCUAUGUUCCUUGGAACAGGACGUCACAGAGGGUGAGAAUCCCGUGCGAUGAGAUGUCUGAUUCUAUGUAAAGUGCUUUCGAAGAGUCGAGUUGUUUGGGAAUGCAGCUCUAAGUGGGGGGUAAAUUCCAUCUAAAGCUAAAUAUUGGCGAGAGACCGAUAGCGAACAAGUACAGUGAUGGAAAGAUGAAAAGAACUUUGAAAAGAGAGUGAAAAAGUACGUGAAAUUGUUGAAAGGGAAGGGUUUGAGAUCAGACUUGGUAUUUUGUAUGUCUUGCUUUCGGGUGGGGCCUCUACAGUUUACUGGGCCAGCAUCGGUUUGGACGGUAGGAUAAUGACAUUGGAAUGUGGCACCACUUCGGUGGUGUGUUAUAGACUUUGUUGAUACUGCCUGUCUAGACCGAGGACUGCGUCUUUGACUAGGAUGCUGGCAUAAUGAU
rnacentral:rRNA from 1 species